rnacentral:rRNA from 1 species
AUUGAACGCUGGCGGCAGGCCUAACUCAUGCAAGUCGAGCGGAUGAAGGGAGCUUGCUCCUGGAUUCAGCGGCGGACGGGUGAGUAAUGCCUAGGAAUCUGCCUGGUAGUGGGGGAUAACGUCCGGAAACGGGCGCUAAUACCGCAUACGUCCUGAGGGAGAAAGUGGGGGAUCUUCGGACCUCACGCUAUCAGAUGAGCCUAGGUCGGAUUAGCUAGUUGGUGGGGUAAAGGCCUACCAAGGCGACGAUCCGUAACUGGUCUGAGAGGAUGAUCAGUCACACUGGAACUGAGACACGGUCCAGACUCCUACGGGAGGCAGCAGUGGGGAAUAUUGGACAAUGGGCGAAAGCCUGAUCCAGCCAUGCCGCGUGUGUGAAGAAGGUCUUCGGAUUGUAAAGCACUUUAAGUUGGGAGGAAGGGCAGUAAGUUAAUACCUUGCUGUUUUGACGUUACCAACAGAAUAAGCACCGGCUAACUUCGU